CCUACUAGUUAUAUAUAACCCCUACUAUUAUAUAUAAACCCUACUAGGGUCAUAACCCCUACUAGUAUAUAUAACUCCAACUAAUUUUAUAGAACCCGAUAAGAACACUAGCCACAGGGACUACAGUCAACAAGAGGGAAGUGAAGCUACUGCAAGCCAGACCAACAAGAAGUCCAAGACACCACAAAAACCCUACUAUUGUUUUAAUAAAUUUAUUAAAAAAACUUAUAAUUUCAAUUUUUUAGAAGGGCUUAUAAUUUGGAACUAAAAUAAUCGUAAUUAAGAGUAGUGUAUAUUAUUUUUUAUAAAGAAAUUAGGAUAGUUAUGAUGUUGUCUACCACCAAAGAUACAUGUCUCUUUCCAGUAAGAGACAAAUUACAAAGGUGAGGAAGUAAAAUUGAACAAAAAAAAAAGAUAUUUAAAGACUACCAACAGUCUUCGGGGCAAAGGUUGAGGAAGCAAUGGAGGUAAAAAUAUAUUUAAAGACAUCUAACCAAUGUCAAGACAACAAGACUGAUACAAUACAAAUAAGAACAUACAGGAUCAUAACAACAACCAGUGAUAAAUGAACCCCAAAGUAAAAUUGACCUGAGUUAGAAAUGUUUGUUGCAAAUCUUACAACAGCAUUUGAGGCAACUCAGACUCAACCAAACCUUGCAUAAACUGUUACAACAGCUCAACGUAUACUUGAUACAUCAACUCAGAGUAUACAUGUUACAUCAGCUCAUAGUGCAUUGGUUACAUCUUCACAGACUAACUUUGAUAUAACAUUUUAUGCACAAGACUGUAUAUUGCUUGCACCUGUUCCAACAAUUGAUGAAGUACCUAUUACACCUGUUUCUACUACUCUUAGAGUUGUAAAAUCAAUUGAGUUUAUUAAACCAUUUGAUAAUGACUUAAACCUAUGGAUGUGUUGUUCCUGUUGCAUCUCUAAUAUUCUUUUUUUUUUUUGUAGAAGAAGAAGCCAAUCAAACCAAAAGUUCCAAGAAAAAUGGAGUUAAGGAAAAGUGAUAGGACAAAGGUCCUUAAAUGCAAAAAUCUCAAAGGAGAAGGAAGUGGUUCAUCACAACCUAUGGAUGUGUAGAAAUUAAGCAUUUUGUUAUGGUCCUGUCAUGAUGUACUUUAUUAUGGUUAUGUCAUGGUGUAUUUUGUUAUAGUUAUUUGUUAUGGUCCUGUCAUGAUGUACUUUAUUAUGGUUAUGUCAUGGUGUAUUUUGUUAUAGUUUGAUACUUUAUUAUGGUGUGUAUUUUUGUAUUUUGAGACAUUUGUAUGCCUAUUAACUUUAUGUUAUUUUAAGACAUGAACCAUCAUUGUGUUAUCUAUAUUGCCUAUAUAUACUAUAGUAUUAUGCAAACUAAUCACAAAUAUAUGGGGAUGACAUCAAAACAAAUCAUUAUGAAACAGUGAUGAAAUAUAAACAAAUCAUUAUGAAACAUGGAUGAAAACCAAAAUGCCACAAACAUAAAGGGACAUAUAUUAUUAAUUUCAAAUGUUCUUAUUCAAUCAAUAUUAAACAUUACAGAAACAACAUUAGACAAUUAUGCAUCUUCUAGGGACUAAAACAGAAAACAAAAUACAAACACCAUGAAUAUCAUUCUCGCUACUAUGACUGGUAAGCAAAGAACAGACACCAAGAUACAAUCAACAAAAGCUUAAACAAAUUGGCAUUCUUCCUUUAGUUUUCCAACUUCAAUUUCAUCUUAUCUUUUUUCUUAGCUUCAAAGCUUAAACAAAUUGGCAUUCUUCCUUUAGUUUUCCAACUUCAAUUUCAUCUUAUCUUUUUUCUUAGCUUCAAGGUCUUUAAUAAUGCAACCUAAUUCAUACACUACCUCUGCACAAGUGCAACCGACUGAAUUUUUGGAUUCAUUUCAUAUGUUGCAUUCUAGUUCAUCAUCCCAUAUGAAUCGCUUGCAACUUGACACACCCGAAUUUGAACAUUUCCAUAAUCGUCGUUUAGGAUUUUUAAUUGAAUUUGACAUAAACAUCCUCAUUGCUCUAUUGCAACCACAAAUUGGGUUUUGAGACUCCGAGUAAAGCUACUGAUGAUGUUGCCAUGGAUGAAUGUGCAACAACCUUAACACUAAUGCAGUCUGAUGAGGAAGAAUUUUCAAAAUAUGAUUUGAAGAGAUGAAGAAGAUGAAGAAUUUGGAAAAUACAUUUUUGAAUUUAGUCCUCCCUUUUAACCUCCACCACUAAGGAUUCCACGUUUGUAAUUUAUUAAACAAAAGAACAUAUAAAUUCAUUUCCACGUCAGCACCGGUAAACAUCUCAAUAAUUUUUAACAGACUUCUAAUAUUAGGGACUAACUCAAUCAAAAAAGUGAGAUAUAGGAACUCUGACAAAAAAAAAGAUUUAGGAACAAGCAGGGACACCAGGUAUACUUAGGUCACACUAUUAAGAGGGAUUUGGAUUGAAAUGGUUUGUAAUUAGGCACAAUUUAUUUAUGAUAUGACAUUAUGAUAUGAUGAUGUUGCUUAUUCCAUGUAUACGACUCAGCGAGAGAAGAGUCUGGUGGUGAUGGUGGUUGUUAUCAAUUACACUUCUUCUUGUGGGUAUUAGGGUAUAAAGAAUGUUAUGAUAGGAGUAAAACUGUUAGGUAGAAAAUCAGGGCAACACUGUUGUGGAAAAGAUGGUGGAGUUGUAUAUUGGUUGGUUUAUUUGGGUAUGUGGGGAGAAGACUCGUAGAAACAUUAGUGUGGAGAGUAAAUUAGAUGAAGGAUCAUACAAAAAUUAGAUGAAGUUGCAUAUUGGUUGAUUCUAAAUGGUUAGUCUUUGAACACAGUUCAUUAUAUGACAUUAUGAUCAUGAUGCUGCUUAGCCCGACUAUGUGCAAAAAGAUUGUGGUGGCGGUGGUUAUUGAUGUCAAAAAACUUCUCCUCGUGACUUUCUCAACAUUGAAUUGUUCUAACAUUGUUAUAUAUGAUAGAUUGAUAGUAAUAUAAUUUCUUUGAAAAUUUCUAUUGAUGCAGAUUGAGUAUCCUGAGAUUGAAGACCUUGCAAAGCCUAGGCAUCGAUUUAUGUCCUCCUAUGAGCAGGUAAACUGUUAAGGCAAAGUUGUCAAAUUAUUUGUUGCAUGUAGGCCAUCUUUUAACAUUUCCGUUUUUGUGUGAUAGAGGGUGCAACCAUUUGAUAAAAGAUAUCAGUAUCUCUUGUUUGCAGCUGAACCAUAUGAAACAAUUUCUUUCAAGGUAAAUAAUUUCUCUAGUUUAUUAUUUAUCGUGUCUAAGUCCUCGAAUACGUUUGUUGAGCUGUGGAAGUUUAUUUGUUUGUACUUAUUAAUCUACAUUUUCAGGUCCCUAGCACAGAGAUUGACAAGUCCACGCCAAAGUUUUUCUCGCAUUGGGACCCAGAUUCCAAGAUGUUUACGGUCGGUACAUUUAAUCCUCUUAAAUAUCCAUGAUGUAAAAGUUUGUCCAUCCAAGUGUACAUAUGUUGUGUGAUUGUGAAAGUUAAUAAUUCAUGCAUAUGUAUCAUCCAAGCAAAACCAAAAACUUUUCAAAAGAAAAAGAAUGCUCACUGUGUUCUUGAAGAACUUUUUUNNNNNNNNNNNNNNNNNNNNNNNNNNNNNNNNNNNNNNNNNNNNNNNNNNNNNNNNNNNNNNNNNNNNNNNNNNNNNNNNNNNNNNNNNNNNNNNNNNNNNNNNNNNNNNNNNNNNNNNNNNNNNNNNNNNNNNNNNNNNNNNNNNNNNNNNNNNNNNNNNNNNNNNNNNNNNNNNNNNNNNNNNNNNNNNNNNNNNNNNNNNNNNNNNNNNNNNNNNNNNNNNNNNNNNNNNNNNNNNNNNNNNNNNNNNNNNNNNNNNNNNNNNNNNNNNNNNNNNNNNNNNNNNNNNNNNNNNNNNNNNNNNNNNNNNNNNNNNNNNNNNNNNNNNNNNNNNNNNNNNNNNNNNNNNNNNNNNNNNNNNNNNNNNNNNNNNNNNNNNNNNNNNNNNNNNNNNNNNNNNNNNNNNNNNNNNNNNNNNNNNNNNNNNNNNNNNNNNNNNNNNNNNNNNNNNNNNNNNNNNNNNNNNNNNNNNNNNNNNNNNNNNNNNNNNNNNNNNNNNNNNNNNNNNNNNNNNNNNNNNNNNNNNNNNNNNNNNNNNNNNNNNNNNNNNNNNNNNNNNNNNNNNNNNNNNNNNNNNNNNNNNNNNNNNNNNNNNNNNNNNNNNNNNNNNNNNNNNNNNNNNNNNNNNNNNNNNNNNNNNNNNNNNNNNNNNNNNNNNNNNNNNNNNNNNNNNNNNNNNNNNNNNGUGUGAUUUAUCUGGAUAUUUCUUUUACACGUAACAAUUUAUGUUUUUUCAUGUGUACACAUGUUAGAGGUAAAAAACAUGAACAAUCUAUUCAUGUAACUUUGGUGCUUUUAUAAUUUAAAUCUUUUGAAGACGAAGUCUAUGAACUGAGCUGUGAUCAUAUUGACACAAUAAUUGAUUCACAGUUUACCUUUCCUUCAAAUCGACAUAUAAUACAAUUGAAGUUCAAAACAACUUUGGUUGAUGAAGAUUGAUGCCAAAAUAUUUAAGUAAGCAAAUAAUGAUAAAGCAACAAUGUUAUUACAUUAAUUAUAUCACGGAUGCCUAUGGAUGAUUCUUGUGCUACGGUACAAACCAAAACAUUUCCAUCAAUACCUUGGGAUUGGGAGAAACCACAUUAGUGAAAGAUGGUCAACAUAAAACAUUAAAUACCAAAAAACAACUUGAUACUGCAAAUCAAAUGUUAUAAAUUGUAAGUUGCAAAAAAUGAGAUGCAAUAAACAAAUGUAUUGCCCAAUUUGGGUAUUGUUUUAUGAAAACUAGCAUCUGACAUAACAAAUAUACUGAGGACCCAGGGAUAAAGCGCGUCCAACUACAACUAUUUAACCACACGAUACUGAAUCAGACAUUACUGUUGCCCAUGCGGACUGGGCUUAUCGUCAUGUGUGGCCAAUUGGCGGAAAAACAAGCAUGGCCCAGUCUUGCAUUUGCUUGGCCUGGAAAAACCUUGCGGAAGGUGGCAUUGAUGGAGGAUUUUCCUCUUUCUUUUUUUAGCAUAUAGUAAAACAUUGAAAAGUAGGAAUAAUUUAAUUUAGAUUGAUCCAAUCUAAAAAUUGUUUAAAUGACAAUGUACAAAAGCAAGCAAUUGCUUUUAUUCUUAUGCAUAACUCUAAUACAUUACACAACUCAAUGCAUUAUGCACCAUUAGGAACACAAUAUCAUCAUAUGCUCAUACAUAUAUGAAAAUGGUGUCUGCAAAGGUGGUACAAAGAUAGCUAAUUUUCUAUAAAAGUUCAGAACAAAAACUGAUAAGAUAAGAAAACAUAGAAAAAGCAGAUGCUUCUUAUUCGCGAGCAACAACAAGCACUUGUUUACCAACAUUGCGACCACUAAAAAGGCCAACCAAAGUUGCAGGACCAUUCUCAAGACCCUCAGCUAUAUCUUCCAUAUACACAAUUUUCUCCUCUCUAAUAUGAGGGAGGACAAACUCCAAGAAUUUCGGAUAUAGGUGAAAGAAAUCAGCACUGUUAAAACCUUCCAUUCGAAUCCGCUUAUAUAUGAUAUGUGCCAAAUUCGUUACACCUUCAGGUUGAGUAAGAUUAUACUGUGAAAUCAUUCCACAUGCAGGUAUGCGGUCAUGAACUCUCAUAUUCAAUAGUACAGCAUCAAGUGUCUUUCCUCCAACAUUCUCAAAGUAAAUACCAAUGCCUUCAGGAAAGUACCUGAUUUGUAUAUUGCCAUACAUUAGUCAAUAAUCACUACUCAAAGCACAACAAGUAACACCUAAAACUUUCUAUUACCAAACUCCUAAAUACUGAAUACAAACCUUUUCAAAACUGCAUUGAGGUCAGGCUCUUCCUUGUAAUUGAAACCUUCAUCAAAUCCAAAUUUGUUCUUCAACAUAUCCACCUGAUUGUAAGACAUGCAUUCAAUCAAAUUGACUAAAAGAAACUCCUCGUAGCAAGGAAUAAGUGAUCGUGAUUUUACAUUCAUUUUUGUAGAUAGAAAAAAUUGUUCGCAUAUUAGAUGUUAUGUUAAUACUUUCUUUUUCGUCAAACUAGUUCAACUACCUAACUCGCGUAUGUGAUGGUGAUUCAUGAAAUAACAUAAAACUCAAACUAUUACAAUAGUACCUUCUCCUUACUUCCAGCACUUCCAACGACAUAACAACCAUGCAAUUUAGCGAAUUGUCCGACAAGUUGUUCAACUGCACCAGAUGCAGCCGAAACAAAGACAUUCUCUCCUUUCUUAGGAGUGCCUAAUUCAAAGAAACCUCCAUAAGCAGUUAUUCCUGGCAUACCUGCUCUCAGAGAAAAACACAAGCAUAAUGUCAAAUAAAAGAACAACAGAAUGACAGAAAACUACGCGACCAACAUCAAUAUAAAUUGAAAUUGUUGAAUACAUAUCGAGAAUCCGGUGUAGUAGGAUAGUGGAACAUCAGUGUGCUCAAUUUUGAAAAAGUAUUUGAGUUGAAGGACUAAACUGUUCUCUUCCCAUUUAGAGAAUCCCCACACUAAAUCACCUCCUUGUAAUCAGGAUUUCCAGAUUCAGGACUUUAGACACCCCAAACCUGCUAUUACUGUAAUUACUCAAUAGAUCAUCACAAACUAUCAAACAAGUUGAUCCAUGAAGAUUAUAAUUUACACAUAAAAAACCUACUUUUAUGAUCAAAUUUGACAUAUACUCAAAAGGGUUAUCCGCAAAAGCAUUAACUUUACCGACUGAGGGGUGUAGGAAAAAGGACUAGGAGUUCCUUGUGUUUUGUUCAUGAGAUUCCGCAUGUAUGGAUCACAAGACAAGUAGAGAUUUUUGAGAAGAACAUCGCUGGAACCUUCUGGAAGCUUGAGAGUAAUGGUACUGUCAACUAUGUUCAUGUCUUAUUCUUUAGGAAAACCAGACACAUAGUCCUUCAGAAUCACUUGCUUGUUCCUCACUUGUGCCAUGUUUGGAAUUAUUUCAGUUCAUUCAGUUUACAAUAGAAAAGUGAUGAAUAUGGAGGGUAAGUUAAGCAUAACUAAAAAAGUGAGAUCAUCAUGUUGAAAAGUUCAAGGAAUGAAUGAAUGGUAGAAAGUAGUAACAUGAUAAUAUUAUUAGUAAUAAUUCAUUUCAAUUUACAUUUAAGUUUAAUUUAGUUUGUAUUUGAAUUUGCAUUUUGCUCUGACUAGUAUAUAAAUCAAACGUGGUUUUAGUUUGUAAUAGAAUUUGAUUCAUAACAAAAUUUCAAAAAAUUUGUUAGAAACUUUUUUCUCUCUUUUAUCUCUCUUCCAUCUUCAUCAUCUUUCCCUUCUUUCUCUUGUGCACCAACAAUUGGUAUCAGAGCAUGGUUCAGAUCCACAGGAAACUCCCAGGGAAACACGAGUGAACGUGAGAUGCGUGUGAUUGAUUUCGUUUCUUGAAUUCGCGUUGAACUUACGAUCGGAAUCGUAAUAGAAUCACAUUUCUUGAUUCUAAGGAAUUGAGAAACACAAGUGUUUGGUGAGGUCUGAGUGAUUUCUUGCACAAGAAUGACGAUGAACGGUGGAAACAGUAGCUUAAAUACGAAACUUCCAGUAUUUGAUGGAAAAACUGAAAUUGGUGGACGAUUCAGAUGCGGGUGUUGUUUGGCACUCAAGAUGUUCUUGAUCUCGUCAAUCACAGUUAUGCGUGAUUGUAGCGGAUGUAAUUGAGGCAAAAAGGAACACAUAUAGAGAGUUGAGGAAGAAAGAUCAGAAAGCUCUGUUAUACAUCCAUCGGUGUGUGGAUGUGAAUGUGUUUGAGAAGAUCGUUGAUUCGACAGCGACGAAGGCUGCGUGGGACACACUGGUAGCGUGCUACGACGAUGAUGUAUUAGUGAAGAAGAUGAAAUUCCAGCCUCUAUGUAAGAAGUAUGAGAAUCUCAACAUUGAGAACAAUGAUAAGGUACCAGAUUAUAUCUCUAGAGUAAUUCUGAUCACAAAUGAGAUGAAAUCUUGUGGAAAGACUCUUUCUGAACAAGUAAUAAUUGAAAAGAUAUAGAGUAAUUCUGAUCACAAAUGAGAUGAAAUCUUGUGGAAAGACUCUUUCUGAACAAGUAAUAAUUGAAAAGAUACCGAGAUCACUUACUCAUCAGUUUGAUUAUAUUAUUAUAGCAAUUGAACAUUCUAAGGAUCUGAGCAUCAUGAGAAUUGAAGAGCUGCAAAGCAGUCUAGAGGCACAAGACUUGCGUAUGACAAAGAGAAUCUCCGAAAGAGAAAUAGAGCAGACUCCGAAGGCAUCUUCUAGUAAGAAGAAUCAGAAGCAAUCUUGGUAGACCAAGAAGAGACAUGGUGGUGGUUAUCAGAAGUCAGAAGUCUCUAACUCUGAUGAGAAGAAACAUCAAAAGGGAAAUGAGAAGUUUGACAAGAAGAAGGUUCAAUGUUACUGCUGUAAUAAGUUUGGUCACUUUGCUGCUGACUGUUGGUCAAACAAGGAAAGGAAAUCAGAAAAAGAAAACAUAGCCAGAUGAGAGUCUGAUGAUGAACCUAUGCUAUUGAUGACAUUUGAGUAUGAUGGUGGAUAUUUGAUAGACUGAUGGUAUAUUGACAUUGACUGCGAAAAUGAUCUAACUGUAAACAAAUAAUGAAUGAUUAAUUUUGACUCUAGAAAGAGGACAAAAAUCAGGCAUAUUGAUGAUAAGUAUCUGAAUGCUGAAGGAAUGAGAAAUGUCAAGGUCAAAGUGAAAAAUGACAAAACUGUUCUGAUCAAGAAUGUUUGGAAUGUUUCUGGCAUGAAGAGAAAUCUGAUGAGUGUAGGUCAGCUAAUUGAGAAAUAUUUCUCAAUUAUUAGGAAGAAGAAUCUCUUGAAGUUGUAUGAUUCUGAUCAGAAGCUGAUUAUGCAGUCUGAACAGGGAAGCAACAAAACAUUUAAGAUGAAUAUGGAAAUAGCUGAAACUAAGUGCCUUAGUGCAGAAGAUACUGAAGGUGAUAGUGAGUCGUGGCACAAGAGAUUAAGGCAUCUGAACUUCAGAAGCUUAUGACAUUUGAGUUGUAAGAAGCUGGUACAUGGUAUUCCUAAAAUUGUGAAGCCUAAGAAGUCAUGUGAGAUAUUCAUGAAGGGUAAACAACCUAGAUUGUCAUUUGCAUCAGAAGUAGCUCAAAGAGAAACAUAUGCUUUGAGAGUAGUGCAUUCUGAUGUAUGUGGACAAUUUGAAGUACCUUCACUUGGAGGAAACAGGUACUUUGUGUCAUUUGUAGAUGAUUUCAAAAGAAUGUGUAACACAGAUCAAGUUUAAGCAUGAGGUGUUUGGUGAGUUUCAGAAGUUCAAGGUGAAGACUGAAAAACAAAGUGGUCAUAAGUUGAAAAUUAUCAGAAAUGAUGUGGAGGUGAGUAUAACUCUACAGAGUUCAUAAGGUUCUGUGAGGAGAAUGGAAUUGAGCACUAGGUUACUGCUCCAUACACUCCUCAGCAUAAUGGUCUUGAUGAACGAAGAAAUAUAACUUUACUUGAUAUGACUAGGAGUAUGAUGAAGGAGAAAAAUCUCCCUCACACCUUGUGGGGAGAAGUUGUUGCCACUGCAACAUAUGUGCUAAACAUGUGUCUAACUAAGAAGCUGAAGGAAAUUGUUCCUUUGGAGAAGUGGACUGGAAGGUGUUCGGUUCUGUUUAUUAUAAACAUGUCCCAGAUGCUAAAAGAGGAAGUUGGAUGACAUAAGUAGAGUCAUGGUGCUUGUAGGUUGCUAUAGUACAUUUGCUUAUAAGCUUUACUGUCAUGUCACUAAAAAAGUUGAAUUCAGUGAAGAUGUCAAUGUGAAAGAAUCAGGAGCAUAGGAUUGGAACAAGUCUUAAUUCAAUUAUGGUGUAGUGUCAACGCCUGAGUUAAUUUAUGAAGACCUUUAAGAUUUUGAAGGAGAAUCUUCCUCUGAAGGAAAUUUUGAGUUUGAAGAUGAGUCAGAGUCUGAAGUGACUCUGAUGUUGAAGAAGAGUCUGACAGAGAAUCUGACUCUGAAGGUGAAUUUGAUUAAGAUCUAGAUUCUGAUGACGAUCCAAACUCUUGUGGUAAUCAUGCCUCUAAUGAUGGUCCAACCUCUGAAGAUGGUUCAGGCUCUGAAGCUAGUCCAAUAUCUGAUAUUGUUCCAGCAUCUUAAAAAGAUUAUGAACAAGUUCAGAGACCACAAAGAAUCAGACAAAUACCAAGAAGAUUUGCAGAGUUUGACAUGUUACUGGAUACUGAGGUAGACUUUGAAGGGAAAGUGAUUCAGUAUGCCAUGUUGGUAGACUCUGAACCAAUAAGUACAAAAGAAUCUCUCAAGAAGAAAGUAUGGAUGAAGGCCAUGUAAGAAGAAGUUGAGUCUAUAGAAAGAAAUGAGACUUGGGAGUUGAUUGAGCUUCCAAAGAAUAAGAAACCCAUCAACGUCAGAUGGGUUUGCAAGGUGAAACUAAAUCCAAAUGGAUCAAUUGGAAAACACAAAGCAAGGUUAGUAGCUAGAGGAUUUCUACAGAAAUCUGGACUAAAUUUCUUUUAGGUGUUUUCUCAUGUGGCUAGACAUGAAACGACCAAAUUGGUGAUUGACAUAACUGCUAAUAGAAAUUGUCCUCUGAUACAUCUGGAUGUGAAAUAUGCAUUUCUGAAUGGUCCAUUACAAGAAGUGGAAUACAUGUCACAACCUUCUAAAUUUGUGAAAAAGAAUCAGAAAUGGAUGGUGUACAAUUUACAUAAAGCCUUAUAUGGGCUUAAACAAGCUCAUAGAGCUUGGUAUAUGAAAAUUGAUUCAUUUUUUUAAGCUUCAAGGAGUCAAAAAAUGUGAGAUGGAGUAUGGUGUUUAUGUUCAACAUACAUCUGAUAGAAAUAUGAUAAUGGUGUGUCUCUAUGUUGAUGAUAUAUUGCUAACAAGGAGCUGUUUAGACGAGAUAGCUAAGUUCAAGAAGGUACUCUAAUAAGGGUAUCUCUUACAUCAGCUAAAGAUUAUGUACUCUAAUAAGGGUAUCAUCUUGCAUAAAGGUAUCUCAUCUAAACAACUCCCUGUUAGCAAUAUGUCAAUGCACUUAAGUCACUUAAUUAUUUUUUGACUCAUAAUCAACACUAAAAAAAAGGUACUCUAACAAGGGUAUCUCUUGCAUCAGAUAAAAGAUUAUGUACUCUAAUAAGGGUAUCUCAUCUAAACAACUUCCUGUUAGUAAUAUAUCAAUGAACUUAAGUCACUUAAUCUUCAUCCCUUCUUGAACUUAGCUAUCUCAUCUAAAUAAUAUGAGAGUACAUAUACUUGCAAUUCAUUAGCUCAAAUCUCUUCAAAAGCUCAAGUUUAUACUUUAGAUGAUGCAAAUUGAUACCCUUAUUAGAGUACAUGACCUUCCUCCCUAAAAAAUAUGUCAUAUUUCUUAGAUCAAUCAACAAUAUGUUAUCUAAUGGCUUAAGUGCAUUGACAUAAGUGCUGAUUAUGGGUAUCUCUUGACAUAAGACGAUACCCUUAUUAGAGUACAUAAUCUUCAUCCCUAAAAAAUAAGUCACUUAAUUCUUUUUAGAGUAUAUAAUCUUCUUCCUCCUGUGCACCAACAAAUAUCUCAAUGCACUUAAGUCACUUAAUUCUUUUUUGACUCACUAGAAUUAAAAUAAAUCUUAUGGCUUAGACUUAAUUCAAAUAUGAGUGAGUAAUUUUAUAUUAAUUAUUAAUGUACUAAAUAUUAAAUAUAUAAGAGAUGUAACUUAUUAAUUGAAUGACAUAAAAACACAAGAAAAUGAGUUUGAAUUCUGUUCAUACUUUAAAAAAAAUCCUUAUAUUUUUAAAAGAAACCAUAAGUCAAACAUGAAUGUCAAAUGCUAAGAUAUAAGAGGGGAGAAAUUGAUAGAGAGAAUUUAUUCUAGUUUACCUCAAAACUCAGAGUUACAUUAAUCCUCUCACAUAGAGAUAUUUUCACUAUAAUCUAACUGAUUACAAUAUCAUUUAGAUAUUUUUUGAUUUAUCUCAAAUUUAUCUUAGAUUCUUCAAAUACAAAGAAGUUACCCUAGUGGACCUCUUUGUCGUCUCAAAGAAUUUGGUUAACACUUAACCAUUUGAGAAUAUACAAUCAUAUAAACAAAUAAAUUUUAGUGUGUUACAAAUAUCAUUCAAAAGAGAAUGUAUGAAAAUAUAAAUACAAAUACAAAUGUUUGAAUCUUUCAAUAGAAAGCAUAUACAAUAAAAUCGUUUACUUGUUUCUUCAUUCAUUAUAUCUUUCCUAUAUUUUAACUCUUUAAGAAAUGAAAAAUCACAGAUAGUCAAGAUAGUCAAGCCAACAGACUCUCCAUGAGACAAUUGAAGUAAAAAAAAACGCCAUGUGACAAUGAUUUUUUCCAAAUUAGCAUCAAAUGCAAUCUCUUAAAUUACAUUAGAGUAACAUAUAAAUAUAUUUUAAAGUUUUAAAUAAUUAACCAAAGAAAAUUAUUUCCAAUUUACAUUAAAUACUAUUCUUUCUUUUUCCCCAUAUGGGAAAUGUAUUUGAGAAAGUGAUUAAAUAUUUUAUCUAACUAAAGUGCCAUAAAAAUAUAUAACAAAAUCAAGGAUAACUCAGAUGAUAAAUUUUUUUGGUUGAAUAAAGAUAAAUGACACAAGUCGAUUGAAGACAUUGAGAAUAUUAAAUCAAUAUAACAACAAAAAAUUAAAACAAUGUCUAUCCUAUAAGAUUAAAAAAAAAUUCUAGGACGAGGUGACCGAUGUUACAAAAAAUUAAAACAUUAUUAAAAAGUUUAUUUAGGACGAGGUGACUGAUGUGUUUCAUGUAAGCUAAAACAUUAUACUUGUCAAAAGAUAUAUAAUAUAUGACACUCCUAUGCUGAUAGGGAUGACUAGAUGCUUUAGUUUUUUUUAUGUGGUUUAGAGUUUAUUCAUAACGAUGACAAAUCCUAUUCAAUGGUAUUUUUGGCUAUGAAAAAAGCAAACUUUUGUGAGGUGAAAAACUCUAUAUUAUUGCUGAUAUUUCGCAUGUAUCUGAAUUAUUCUUUCUCAUGCUAGGGAUGAUGUAUUUAUAGAGCCUCGUGGGCCUCGAAUUAGGGUUUUUCGGAAAUGAUAACCGUCCAUUUAGUCACAGUAGUGAACCGCUGAAUCCUUAUUUUCUAGGAAGACACAAUUUAGUAUGUUGACUAUGAACUCUCUCUGAUCGAUACACGCCUUUUUCCAUAUUUCCCACAAUAGGGCAAGCAGGGGGAGUUUAAGGUAAGAUUGCCCCCAAUUGCGGGUGGUAGAAUGGUUUCACCCCUUACUGGCAACCAUAAUUUCUUUGCCUUUGGCAGGUCUUUAUAAAUAUAUCACUACACGCCCCUUAAGCAUAUAUGCUUGAUAAAAUGUGAAGUGCUUUAAUUGCUCAUCAGUCCCUCAAGUGAGAUCUUAGGUUGGAUCCUUCUUGAGGAGAAUUUAAGUCCAUAAGGAGAGAUUAUAUGUUGAGUCUGUCUGAUGAGAUUCUAAGCCCCUCAAACAAGGCAUUUAGAUGAGCCUAUUUGAUGGAAAUUUAAGUCCUUUAAGUGAGAUAAUACAUUGACCCUAUAUGAUGGAACACUAAGUCCCUCAGGCGAGGCGUCGAGUCUCUUGGGAAGGACUUCGGUCGAGAUCCUCGGGCAAGACUUUCAAGUUAAUUCUUUCGGGCCGAACUUUGGUUAAGUCCCUUAAGAGAGGCCCUAGGUUGAACCUCAUUCGAGGAGAUUCUAAGUCCCUCAAAAAAGGAGUUUAGACGAGCCUAUGUGAUGUGACUCUGAGUCCUUCAGGCAAGAUUAUGCAUUGAGUCUGUUUGAUGGGAACCAAGUCACUCAGGCAAGGAAUUUAGAUGAGCCUGAUAUUCUCUGUCCUUCAGGCGAGAUGUUGGGUCUCUCAGAAAAGAUUUUGGUCCAAACCCUCAGGCAAGACUCUUAGGCUAAGUCUCUUAGGCCAGACUUUGGUCUUCUUGAGGAGACUUCAAGUCCCUUAGGUGAGAUUAUAUGUUGAUCAUGUCUAAUGAGACUCUAAGUCUCUCAAGAGAGGUGUUUAGAUGAGCUAGUUUGAUAAGAUUCUAAGUCCAUCAAGCGAGAUUAUAUGCUCAGCCUGUCUGAUGGGGAAUUAAGUCCCUGAAGUAAGGCGUUUAGAUAAGCCCUGGAUUCUAAGUUCUUUAGGAGAGGUGUUGAGUUUCUCGGGGAAGACUUCAGUCCAAACCCUAAUGCAAGGAUUUUAGGUUAAGUUUCUCGGUCCAGACUUUGGUCGAGUCCAUCAAGCGAGUGUUGGAGAAUAGCCAUCCAAGGCGCAACGGAAUUUAAAAAUUUCUCCAUUUAGUGAUCCUUACGAAUGGGCAUGAUCAGUGAUAGAAUCGUUACCUCUUGUGGCGAUUCAAACCUUUGGUGCAGAUCGAUCUCUGAUAAUGAUCAACACCUUUGAUAGCAGAUCCACCGGCGAUACGAACGUUGACCGAUGACAACGUCUCUACUGCAGUCCCACGACGGAUUUUCAAAUCGCAGUGCUAGCUGGUUAUGAAUGAGCUUGCCCCGAGAAACUCACACCUCUCCUAAAGAACUUAGAAUCCAGGGCUUAUCUAAACGCCUUACUUCAGGGACUUAAUUCCCCAUCAGACAGGCUGAGCAUAUAAUCUCGCUUGAUGGACUUAGAAUCUUAUCAAACUAGCUCAUCUAAAACACCUCUCUUGAGAGACUUAGAGUCUCAUUAGACAUGAUCAACAUAUAAUCUCACCUAAGGGACUUGAAGUCUCCUCAAGAAGACCCAAAGUCUGGCCUAAGAGACUUAGCCUAAGAGUCUUGCCUGAGGGUUUGGACCAAAAUCUUUUUGAGAGACCCACAUCUCGCCUGAAGGACAGAGAAUAUCAGGCUCAUCUAAAUUCCUUGCCUGAGUGACUUGGUUCCCAUCAAACAGACUCAAUGCAUAAUCUUGCCUGAAGGACUCAGAGUCACAUCACAUAGGCUCGUCUAACACUUUUUUGAGGGACUUAGAAUCUCCUCGAAUGAGGUUCAACCUAGGGCCUCUCUUAAGGGACUUAACCAAAGUUCGGCCCGAAAGAAUUAACUUGAAAGUCUUGCCCGAGGAUCUCGACCGAAGUCCUUCCAAGAGACUCGACGCCUCGCCUGAGGGACUUAGUGUUCCAUCAAUAAUAGGGUCAAUGUAUUAUCUCACUUAAAGGACUUAAAUUUCCAUCAAAUAGGCUCAUCUAAAUGCCUUGUUUGAGGGGCUUAGAAUCUCAUCAGACAGACUCAACAUAUAAUCUCUCCUUAUGGACUUAAAUUCUCCUCAAGAAGGACUCCAACCUAAGAUCUCACUUGAGGGACUGAUGAGCAAUUAAAGCACUUCACAUUUUAUCAAGCUAUAUAGCUUAAGGGGCGUGUAGUGAUAUAUUUAUAAGACCUGCCAAAGGCAAAGAAAUUAUGGUUGCCAGUAAGGGGUGAACCAUUCUACCCACCCGCAAUUGGGGGCAAUCUUACCUUAACUCCCCUGCUUGCCCUAUGUGGGAAAUAUGGAAAAAGGCGUGUAUCGAUCAGAGGAGUUCAUAGUCAACAUACUAAUUGUGUCUUCCUAGAAAAUAAGGAUUCAGCGGUUCACUACUGUGACUAAAUGGACGGUUUCAUUUCCGAAAAAACCCUAAUUCGAGGCCCACGAGGCCUCUAUAAAUAAUCAUCCCUAGCAUGAGAAAGAAUAAUCAGAUACAUGCGAAAUAUCAGCAAUAAUAUAGAGUUUUUCACCUCACAAAAGUUUGCUUUUUUCAUAGCCAAAAUACCAUUGAAUAGGAUUUGUCAUCGUUAUGAAUAAACUCUAAACCACAUAAAAAAAACUAAAGCAUCUAGUCAUCCCUAUCAGCAUAGGAGUGUCAUAUAUUAUAUAUCUUUUGACAAGUAUAAUGUUUAGCUUACAUGAAACACUCAGUCACCUCGUCCUAAAUAACUUUUUAAUAAUGUUUUAAUUUUUUGUAACAUCGGUCACCUCGUCCUAGAUUUUUUUUAAUCUUAUAGGAUAGACAUUGUUUUAAUUUUUUGUUGUUAUCUUGAUUUAAUAUUCUCAAUGUCUUCAAUCGACUUGUGUCAUUUAUCUUUUUCAACCAAAAAAAUUAUCAUCUGAGUUAUCCUUGAUUUUGUUAUAUAUUUUUUAUGGCACUUUAGUUAGAUAAAUAUUUAAUCACUUUCUCAAUACAUUUCCCAUAUGGGGAAAAAGAAAGAAUAGUAUUUAAUGUAAAUUGGAAAUAUUUUCUUUGGUUAAUUAUUUAAACUUUAAAAUAUAUUUAUUAUGUUACUCUAAUGUAAUUUAAGAGAUUGCAUUUGAUGCUAAUUUGGAAAAAAUCAUUGUCACAUGGCGUUUUUUUUUACUUCAAUUGUCUCAUGGAGAGUCUGUUGGCUUGACUAUCUUGACUAUCUGUGAUUUUUCAUUUCUUAAAGAGUUAAAAUAUAGGAAAGAUAUAAGAAUGAAGAAACAAGUAAACGAUUUUAUUGUAUAUGCUUUCUAUUGAAAGAUUCAAACAUUUGUAUUUGUAUUUAUAUUUCAUUACAUUCUCUUUUGAAUGAUAUUUGUAAACACACUAAAAUUUAUUUGUUUAUAUGAUUGUAUAUUCUCAAAUGUUAAGUUAACCAAUUCUUUGAGACGACAAGAGGUCCACUAGGGUAACUUCUUUGUAUUUGAAGAAUCUAAGAUAAAUUUGAGAUAAACAAAAAUAUCUAAAUGAUAUGUAAUCAGUUAGAUUAUAGUGAAAAUAUCUCUAUGUGAGAGGAUUAAUGUAACUCUGUUUUUGAGGUUAAACUAGAAUAAAUUCUCUCUAUCAAUUUCUCCCCUCUUAUAUCUUAGCAUUUGACAUUCAUGUUUGACUUAUGGUUUCUUUUAAAAAUAUAAGGAUUUUUUUUAAAGUAUGAACAGAAUUCAAACUCAUUUUCUUGUGUUUUUAUGUCAUUCAAUUAAUAAGUUACAUCUCUUAUAUAUUUAAUAUUUAGUACAUUAUAAUUAAUAUAAAAUUACUCAUCAUAUUUGAAUUAAGUCUAAGCAAUAAGAUUUAUUUUAAUUCUAGUGAGUCAAAAGAUUAGUGACUUAAGUGCAUUGAGAUAUUUGUUGCGUCACAGGAGGAAGAAGAAUUAUAUACCUAAAAAGAUUAAGUGACUUAUUUUUUAGGGUGAAGAUUAUGUAUCUAAUAAGGUAUCGUCUUAUGUCAAGAGAUACCCAUAAUCAGCACUUAUGUCAAUGCACUUAAGCCAUUAGAUAACAUAUUGUUGAUUGAUCUAAAAAAUAUGACAUAUUUUUUAGGGAGAGGUCAUGUACUCUAAAUAGGGUAUCAAUUUGCAUCAUCUAAGUAUAACUUGAGCUUUUGAAGAGAUUUGAGCUAAUGAAUUGCAAGUAUAUGUACUCUCAUAUUAUUUAGAUGAGAUAGCUAGUUCAAGAAGGGAUGAAGAUUAAGUGACUUAAGUUCAUUGAUAUAUUACUAACAGGAAGUGUUUAGAUGAGAUACCCUUAUUAGAGUACAUAAUCUUUUAUCUGAUGCAAGAGAUACCCUUGUUUUAGAGUACCUUUUUUUAGUGUUGAUUAUGAGUCAAAAAUAAUUAAGUGACUUAAGUGCAUUGACAUAUUGCUAACAGGGAGUUGUUUAGACUCAGAUACCUUUAUGCAAGAUGAUACCCUUAUUAGAGUACAUAAUCUUUAGCUGAUGUAGAGAUACCUUAUUAGAGUACCUUCUGAACUUAGCUAUCUCGUCUAAACAGCUCCUUGUUAGCAUUAUAUCAUCAACAUAAGACACACACCAUUAUCAUAUUUCUAUCAGAUGUAUGUUUAAACUAAACACCAAUNCCCACUUCACACUAAAGCUCGACUACGGAUACUUUAAGAACAAUGUCCUUAUGUUUAAUGUGUUCUCAUGAUUAAGUCACACUUAAUACAUUAAACGGACUAUCUGUUCCAGGGACUUUAUUAAUCAACCAUAAUAAAGAAAAUGCCUUUUAUUAUUAAUAAAUAAUUUGAUACAAGUACCAAAAGUAUUGGCCUCUAGGGCUUACACCAACAGCGAGACCUUAGGCUGGAUCCUUCUUGAGUAGAGUUCAAGUCUCUCAAGUAUGAUUAUAUGUUGAACCUGUCCCAUUAGACUCUAAGUCCCUCAGGCGAGGCGUUUAAAUUAGUCAAUUUGAUGGGACUCUAAGUUCUUCAGGCGAAACUUUUAGAUAUUUUUGAGAUUCUAAGUCCUUCAUGUAAGAUGUUGAGUCUCUCAGGUAAGACUUUGGUUCAAACCCUCAAGCAAGACUUUUAGGUUAAAUCUCUUAGGCCAUAUUUUGGUUGAGUCCCUCAGGCGAGACCUUAGGAUGGAUACUCCCUGAGGAGACUUCAAGUUCCUCAAGCGAUAUUAUAUGUUAAGUCUGUCUGAUGAGACUCUAAGUCUCUUAUGUGAGGAGUUUAGAUGAACCUGUUUGAUGGGACUCUAAGUCCUUUAGGAGAAAUUAUACGAUGAGUUUAUAUGAUAGGAAGCUAAGUCUCUUAAGCAAGGUGUUUAUAUGAGGUAUCCCCUAGUGUGUAGCCCAUUAGUAUUACCCUAAAGGCGACACAGAUCUUCUUGUGGAAAUCCAACAUGUUUUUAUUGCCUUGAGAGGCGGUAAGGAUCUUACUGUAGAAUUCCAAUGUAUUGUAUUUCCUUGAGAGGCGCUAAGUAAGGGUAGAUAAAUGGGCCCGACCUGUCGGACAUAACCAUUUUCCCGCACUUUUUCGCAAGACGGAUCAAGUUUUUAAGCCUACACCCUUUAAUGUGCCCGCCCCGCCCCAUUUUUUACGGGCAUUUAUGGGCACAAACGUUUACAUAAAAUUUUGUAAUUUUUAGGCCUAAAAAGUUCAAAGCCCGCGGACCCACCCCACCCUCAAUUUUAUGCGGGGCAUUUUAGGCCCACACCACGCCGCCCCAUUUUUUAUGGGCUUUUGAGGGGCGAGCCUUAACGGGGAUGUCAUGCCCGUUUUCCAUAUUUAGCGGCAAGGAUAUUCAUGUGGAAGUCCACCAUAUUCGUAUUUCCUUAAGUGGUAGCAAGAAUAUUCCCGUGGAAGUCAAGCAUGUAUGGUAGUGGAAACUGAAACAUUCUCAUUGGUCAUAAACAUUCAAAAGUUUGUUAAUAGGUGGGUGGCAUGCCUCCUAUGAAAAUUCAUAAAUAAAUAACUUAAUUAUAAUAAUAUUUUAAAAAAAUAGAGUUUCAAUUCUUGGGUAUGAGUCACCCAUCCAAUUCUUGUAGCUUAUAUACUCCAUGGGGCAGCUUCUAGAAUACACAAUAUGGUUCUUCCGAGUUGGGCUACAAUUUUCCCUGUUGCGUAGGAAGAACCACUUGUCACAGUACCAAGUCGCCUUAUGGAUUUCCCUUGGAAUUAAUUUAGAAUUAUAUCUUCUAAGCACUCUUUGUUUGGUGGUGAACUCCCGAAUAUGGGUGACACCUCUUGCUUCAUCGACCAAAUCAGCAAUGCACAUUGUCUAUGUGUCGUUCACUUCAUGGUCAAACUGAGAACAACAUCAUGAGGGCAUGCCGAUCUCUAUUAGAAAUAUAACAUCACCCUGUAUACCAUGGUGAAGGGAGUCUCCAUGGUGUGGUAGGACCAUAAAAUUUCUUGGAGUAGUUCAACCCACAACCCUUUGGCAUCGUCCAACUUCUUCUUGAUCCCUUUCAAGAUCACCUUGUUUGCCGAGUCUACUUUCCCAUUGGCUUGGGAAUGGAUUAAAUAGACAAACUUCAUUUGUACACCCAAUUCGUGGCAAAAGUCAGUGAUUAUGGUGCUGGGGAAUAAUGUGUCAUUGACGGAGACGAUGACGUCAAGCAGUCUGAAUUUACACAUGAUUUUAUGCCAAUAGAAACGAUAAACUAUUUCUACUGUAAUCUUGGCGAAGGCAUAUGCCUUUUAUCCACUUUUUAAAGUAGUCGACCCCCACGAUCAAGAAUUUUAGCUGCCCGGGGCCAGGGGGAAUCAACUUAGGAUGUUCACUCCCCACUGGUUAAAAGGCCUAGGCGAUAUCAUAGAAUGAAAGAGCUCAGUUAGGGAGGGAUGCAGGUUUGCAUGGUCAUAUUUCUUGAUAAACACCAAACUAUCUUUUAACAAGGUGGGCCAAUAAUAGUCUACUAUAAGCAAUUUUUUGGCGAGAGCCUUGCUGCCAAUGUGCUACCACAUGCUCCUUGAUAAAAUUCAACGAGGACUAAGAAGGCUUCAUGCUCCUCUAGACACUGUAGCAUUAGAGAUACUAUUCCCAUCUUAUAGAGUUUUCUCACCCAAAGAUUAUAUUUAGUGGCUUGAUUCUGGACCUUCUUCACCUCCCUUUCAACUUGAGGGAGUUUGUCCCCUAGUAGAUAUCACUGUAUGAGCGACAUACAACUUAACUUGGGAGGCGACUUAUAGGGUGCAAAUCUCGUCCACCUCGAUACUGGCUGAGGCUAGGGCCUCUUGUAUUACUAUCCAACUGUACCUUGAUAUCUUCGAGCUAGCGAUUUUGGACAGAAGGUCUGCUAUGAAGUUUUGCUCACUGGGCAUGUGUUUUACUUUACAAGAUUUAAAGCAUGUUGGUAAGUUUCGUACCUUAUGGAGAUAUUUUAGGAGUUAUGGUUAUUUUUCCUGGUACUCCCCGACGACAUUGGCGAUUAGAUGGGAAUAACUUUUUCCAUUCAACCUAAAGGCACCCAUUUUCAGGGAAAGAAUUAUACCAGCGAUGAAAGCUUCUUAUUCGGCCUGAUUAUUGCUAGCUUUGAAUUCAAACUUUAAUUCCUUUUUGAUUAGCAUGUCUCCUGGACCUUCUAACACUACCCCAACACCUAUCCAUUUCAAAUUUGAGGCAUUAUCGAAUGAAAACAUCCAUUAUUAGGGCACCUCUUCAUCUACUAGCAAGGUGAACUUCGCCAAAAAAUUCUUCCUGACCUUGGGACUCGAUGCUUCCCCUUGGGACAUUUUAUGGCCUUGAAAAUAGGACAAAAGCUUCCUCGCCAUGAUGACGACAAACAUAGAUAAAUUCUUAAUCUUCUGAUAACGUUUAUGGGCGCCUUUUAAUACUUUUCUUCCAAAAUACAUGGGAUGCUCUACCUUAUCUAUCUCUCGGAUGAGUACUAAACUCAUCACCUAAUCUGGGAGUGAAAGGUAUAGGAGCAAAUGUGACCACUCUUUUGGGUGAGUUAGGAUAAGCAACGAUGUGAGGAAGGCAUUUACUCUUGAGAUUUCCUUAUCAUAUUCCCCUAUCCAAUCGAGAUUGUUCAUCUUUUUUUGGGCGACGAAGAACAUAAAAUCCUUGUUGCCCGCACAAGAGAGGAAGUGAGAUAAAGCUGAAAGGCGACUCAUUAUAUGCUGCACCUCUCUAAUGUUAGUGGGGCUUCUCAAGCCAAUAACGUCCGGACACUUAUUUGGGUUUGCCUUAAUGCCCUAUUUGUUAGCUGAUAAAUGGUUUUCGCACUGUCUUUACUAGUUGUUUUACCUUAGUAUUUUAUUGUUUUUGUCCGAUUGGUUUCUGAGUAUCAUAUUUUAUGCGUUUGGUAGUAUAUUUUCUGUUUUCAAGGUUUAAUAAGUACUUGAGGUGAAAAAGGACAAAAAAAGAGCAAAGCACAGGAAAAUGUCAAAAGUCAGAAAAUCCUCAUACAAAAUCCAAAGAGCUGCUACGGCCACCUGUAGCAGCCAAGCCAUAAAAACACAGGAAAAUGUCAAAAGUCAGAAAAUCCUCAUACAAAAUCCAAAGAGCUGCUACGGCCACCUGUAGCAGCCAAGCCAUAAAAGCCCAUCCCUUUUGAUUCUCUAGUAGAAGAUUAGAGGUCUGCUAUGUUAGAACAAGAUUUGGUUAUGCAUAUAUACCUUGAGUUUGGAUGAUAACAAUAUUGUAUUUGUGUGAGAAAAUUUCCGGUACCGUAAUUGUUUGUUAUUGUCUAGCUCUAACAAUCGGUUCUGAUUCUGGAUAUAUGAUGUGCAACAUCAUCAGUUUCUGAACUAUGUGUUCCAAAUCCGCUUCUGCGCCUACUGUUAGAUGUUUUGAAAGAUGUUAAUAUUGUUGCUACAAUGUUCUUUCUGCUUCUAUGUUAUUUCACUCAUUAGAAACUUCUGAGAAGACAUUAUGUUGCUGUUGCAAUGUUCUCUCAGUUCAUGCUUCUGGAUGUGACUCUGAUAACCUAACUUCUGAAGAACAACAAGCUUAUGAAGUUGUAUUAUGUAGUUUAAGGUUUUGAAGAUCUCAAGACAGACGAUUGAAGUUAUCAAGGUUCUGACUGAGGAUUCUGAAGACUCUGAAGACCUUAAGCCAGACUACUGACGCCGUCUAGGUUCUGACCCAAGGUUCUGAAGUUUCUUAAUCCAAAUCUCUAUUUCUUUAUUUCAUGCUUCAAUCAACUUUCAUCAAACACCAAUGAACUUCAAGAUAAGAUCAAAAUGGAAACAUGAUCAAAUAAUACAUGGUACAAAACGAACAACCUUUCCACUACCUGAUUUCGCGGGCAAGAACAAUAUUAUACAUCACACCUCUCACUGAAUUUAUGGGCGAAAUGAUAGUAAGCAGUAUCAUUCCUUUCCCAUCCAAUAAUGGAAAUCCGCUCAAGGAGCUUUCCCUAUUUUUUCCUCCAACGGUCACAUGCUUAUGAUAUAUAAGCAUGCAUUGGAGACUUGAAGAAAACGUUGGUUGCACAAGUAUUACAAUGCAUAUGGUUAAAAUUUCUUUCAUCGUUGAAUCAAGAUUACAAUGUAACGAGCAUAGCAUAAUUAUACUAUUUUUCUUGGGACAUAUACCAAUAUCCACGAUAAAAACAUCCAGAAUAAUUAAUAAUGUGUAUACAAUUGAUUUAUAAAAGAAAAUAAAAAUCCAAAUAUACUUACGAAUUGAAAAAUUGUGAUAAGUAACAUUCUAUUUUCUCUUGAAUUAAUUUAUUUUAUAUGUAUGUCUGGACACUGAUUGGUCCAUGUUGUUGAAGUUGAAUAUUGAAUGAGUCUAAAAAACAAUACUUUAUUAAGUCUCUUUAUGCACACAUCUGAUGCAUGUGCCUAAAUAUUAACACAAAAGUCAAAUCUUGAUGCAAGUCUUGACAUUAAAAGUAUUUGAGAGGAAUGAAUAUAAACUGAAGUCAGCAUAAAAAAUGUAUUUACGUGCACCAUAAUUGUAGUAUGGUUAUAUCCAGCCAAUUAGUACACUGCAAAAUAUCCAAAAUACACCUAUUUCCAACUAUAUAAAAUAUUAACUUGAUUCAUGUUUUAAUGUUAUCUUGAAGGUGUCUCCUAUCUCCUCUACCACCCAUGACAAUCUUAACAUGUUAUCUAGUUGAGAUAUUGUGGUGUCAAUGUUGUGCUAUGGGACUGAACAUCCACCUUUCAUGCUUGCACCACCAAAAACAACUUUAUUAGCUUAACUGCAUAUACCCAUUUCACAUCAAUUGCCUUAUUCCCUUUUGAAAAUUUGACUAGUGACUAAGUAUCAUUGUCUUAUAUGGAUUUUAUCUCAUCCACCUUGACUAUUUCUAUGCUUUAACUGCAUCAACUGGCUUUGUAUAUGCAUAGAAGGUAUAAUAUAAUAACCCAACUUCAUCAUCGACCACAUCAUCUGAUGUGAUUACACAUUCCUGCAGUCUUUCAGAUAUGUUUCUGGUUCUCUGAGGUCUGUUUAUGCUAACUUGACCUUCGACGGCUUCUUGCUGAACUUCUCUAACAACUUCACUAUAUGGUUCAUCACACAUGAUUUUUACUGAAUCAUUCUUGAUGUUGUUAGUCCAAUCCCACUCCUUAAACUCAUCUACGAUCGCAUCCCUGUUGUUCACGAGUUGCUUGUGCACUGAGUCGAACAGUUUGUAUCCAUCAUUCGAAUAAUAUCCCACUAGGAUCAUCUGACUCGAUUUAUCAUCCAACUUUCUUGUUAGUUGAUCUAAAACAUGCAUAUGUGUUAUGGAUCUAAACACCUUCAAGUGGCUUAAACUAGGUUUGACACCAGAUCAACAUUCUUUUGGUGUAACACCUUUAAGCCUCUUUAUUAGGCAUCUAUUUAGUACGUACGUUGCAGUCGACACAGCUUCACCCCAUAGCUCAUUUGGGAGAUGCUUUCCUUUUAUCAUAUUUCUAACCAUAUUCUUAAUGGUUCCGUUCUUUCUUUCAGUAGUACCCAUUUGUUAAGGAGUGUAUGGUGGCACCACCUCAUAUUCAUAAUUCCUUAUUUUGUACAUAGUGUAUCAAAAUCUUUCGACACAUACUCUCCACCUCCAUCUAUCCUCAGAACCUUAAUCUUGUGACCACUUUGUCUUUCCACCAUUGUUUUGAACUUGGUGAAAACAUCGAUCACAUCACUUUUCGUCUUAAUUAAGUAGGUCAGCAUCUUUAUAUUGUAAUCAUCAAUAAAUAUAACAAAGUACUUAUUACCUCCAAGUGAAUCUACCUGGAGAGGACCACACACGUCUGAGUAGAUUAUGUCGAGAGUGGCUUUCGACUUGCUUCUUGCAUCCUUGAUGAAGUUAUUCUUAUGUUGCUUUUCUUGAACGCAUUCUUCACAUACUUCUUUUGGAUAUGGAUUUAUGGUAGGUCUGAAACCAUGUUCUUUCUCUUCAGAUUACUGAUGUCAUUAAAGUUCAAGUGACCAAGUCUAUAAUGCCAUAAUCAUUCAUUUAUACUAACUGCAGUCGCUAGGCACUUGUGUUCCAACACAUCAAGUUCAAUCCUGAAAGUUCCAUUCUGAGACACAAGAGCCUUCAAGAUUAACUUGUUACUUUAGUCGAUCACUCUCAUCAUUCUAUCUUCAAUAAAUACUUUGUAAUUCCUCUCAAUCAACUAACUUAUACUUAGCAAAUUACUCUCCAUGCCAGGUAUGUACAACACAUUAGAAAUUACUCAUUGUUUACCAUCCUUUCUCCUAAUCAGAACAUCAUCAAUACCUUCAGCAUAUAAGGUAUUAUCAUUUUGAAAAAUUUACCUUGUUCUUCAACGAGGGACUGAUGUUAAUAAACUAAUCUUUUCUUCCAUUCAUGUGUGACGAACAACCUGAGUUGAGAUACCAUUGAUCUUGGAAUUUUUAUUCUUCUUUUGUUGUGACCAUUAGCAUCAAUUCGUCUUCUGCAAGCUUUCAAUCACUUUCUUGAUAUUUCUUGCCUCCUCGACAUUGGCCUCCAUAAUGGCCACACUUUUAACAAUUGUAGCACUAAAUAUGAGUUUUAUCAAUCACCUAUUCCUCUACCCACACCACCACAUAUGUGAUUUACUUGGUUAGAAGAUUGUAUCUGAUUUGGUGAACUACCUUCUUGAUGAUUUCCUCUGCCUUUGCCUACAUUUCAUUUCAUUUGCCUUUCUUUUCUUUAGUCGACUGAGCCUGCGAAGCCAUAUCAGUCUUCGACUUGCUAGCAGUUGUUUCAGCCAUUCUUUGUUCGUGAGAUUCAAACAUCCUUUGAAGCUCUUCUUUUCUCUUACUUGACAAAACCUUCGAUUCUUAUAUGCCUACUACCACAUGAUCUAACUUUUGAUGUAACGAACUCAAAAUCUUUGACACUAUAGAUUUUGAUGUCAACACUUCUCCACAUUGAUUCACCAGUCUUGUUACUUUGGUGAAGAAAUCAGUCACAUUUUCAUUGUCUUCCAUCUUAAGCAAUUCAUACAUUCUUUUCUGAGUUUGUAACCUCACCUCCUUCACUUUCUCAGCGCCUCUAAGUGAUUUUUCCAGGAUGUUUUGUGAUUCCUUUGUUGAAUCAAAAUCACCAACUCUCUCAAAGUUGUCUGAAUCAAUACGUUGAUGGAUUAAAAAGAGAGCCUUAUAAUCCUUCUUAUUCAAAUCUUUGUGUGCAACCUUUUGUCCAUCAAUGAAAUUCUCUCUAAUUGGUGUUACUCCAUUCUUAUCAUUCAAGAUUUAAAGAUAUGUUGGAGAAUGCUUGUUCGGAUGAUUCAUCUUGAUUUAAUGUGUCCCAAAGAUCACAUAACCAACCAAUACGUUAUAUACCAGAUGUUAGAAAAACUCCAAUCUUGAAGUUAACCGAAUCAAUCUUGAUUAACAAGAAUCAAUCCUUCUGAUUGAUCACGCAUCUUGUUCUUCACCCUUUACUCAGGUUUUUACUCAAGUGAAAGAAUCACUCCUUAGUUGCAAGAUGAUUCUACACCACACAAAGAAUUGAAAGAAGAAAACAAGACAAUUGAAAGUAAGCGAAAAGAGAAAUUCUGGAGAAAGAAGAAUAAUGUAUUUUUGUGCAAACUGCACUCUAAAUAUUUGUUACAAUGUGUGUUGAUCACAAAUGUGAUUUCUAAAACUACACAGUACUAUUACAAAACUUGUUGUUCUCCCUUUCAAAUGAAAUAAAGCUCCUUUCUAUUUAUAGAUGAGAUUACUUGUACUCUAAAUAAUUACAAAGUAACUACUCAACUAAAACUAAAUUAAGUCAGUCUUCUUCGACUUUAUCGACUCCUUCGAAAGUUACAUGCUCCGGUUAGUUGUAUUUGACUUUCUGUCAAAUAUAGAUAAUACAGACUCUGUUCAACGCAUGCUAUUUCGACACACACUAAAACACCUUAUGACAGUCAUCGAAUACAAACACACUAUUUCGACUUCGACAUACAUAUUUAACCGAUGUCGGUGACCGUGAAUCUAAAGAAUUUUUUGCAAUAAACCCAAAUAGUGUAAUUUUUCAAAGUUCAGCCUUAUUUUGUACUUUCAGACCUAUAUGAUAAUGGUUGGUAGGUUCUUUGAGUGAGACUUAUCACCUCAGAUCUUAAUCAUCCCUUUUGAGCUCAAAGGGAAUUACUGGAAUUAGUAGUUCAGUCCAUUAGUCAUGAAAGUCAUUUUGAGGAGUCUUUCGAAUUCAACAUAAUCUAGUUUUGGCCUAAAUAGGCAUCCUGAAAAAUGAAGUGUCUUGCAAUCUAAAGUCCCAUCUAAUAACACAUUUGUGGUUGGCAGCAGAUAGGAAUACUUGGGCAUACCUUGUUCAGGUUUGUGCUGUGUGUGCAACCUUUGGAUUGAUGCCUGCCGAGCAUGUCAGUUGGACUCCAUGGAAGCAGGCCAGUGUUGUCAUAUGAGUUUUUGGAUCAAAGAGAUAAUGGGUGGAAAUCUUGGUGACUUUGACAUUCCCUUAGAUUUCAACCUCUUUCGUCUUAUCCAUAGGCCGUAUGUUCGUUUUCUUCCCUUAAGUGUACUAUAAAACUUUAUUAAAUUAUACACAAUUAGAGGUAACAGAGAAGCAUAUAACAGGCUUUAUUAAUCACAAGAUAUCACAUAAGCAAGCAAUUACAAUCAACACUAGAGAAGAGAAAUACUAUUGCAAAAGGCCAUCAUACAAAGAGAGCUUGUUAUUCAACACACACAAAAAUCAAAUGAAAGCAUCAGAGUUCACUCACGAGCAACAACAAGCACUUGUUUACCAACAUUCUGACCACUAAAUAUUCCCACCAAUGCUGCAGGUCCUUUCUCAAGUCCUUCAGCUAUGUCUUCAACAUACACAGCCUUCCCUUCUCUUACAUGAGGCAGGAUAAACUCCAAGAAUUUGGGAUACAGGUGAUGGAAAUCAGCUACAAUAAAACCCUGGAUACGAAUCCGCUUAUAUAUGAUAUGUGCCAAAUUGGUUAUGCCUUCAUGUUGCGUAAGAUUGUACUGUGAGAUCAUUCCGCACACAGGUAUGCGACCAUGGAUUCUCAUAUUCAAGAGCACAGCAUCGAGUGUCUUUCCUCCAACAUUCUCAAAGUAAAUGUCAAUGCCUUCGGGAAAGUAUCUAAUUUACAUAAGUUGAUAUCAGCUAGUUAUUAAUGUCUCAUGUUACAAAAUCUAUGAAGCACUAACAUAAAACUGAUGUAUAGACAAGUGAUUGAAUGUAAAUGCAAGUGACAGUGAUGUGUCGGAUGACACACCUUUAAUAUAAUAUCAAUGUCGCGUAAAUAACUAUACUAUUAAGUCGAAAAAACAAAGUGAAUUAUAAAUCUAUCACAAAGCCUUUAAAACAUACCUUUUCAAAGCUGCAUUGAGGUCUGGUUCUUCUUUGUAGUUAAAGGCUUCAUCGUAUCCAAAUUUAUUCUUCAACAGAUCCACCUUUUCUUUAGUUCCGGCACUUCCAACGACAUAGCAACCGUGCAAUUUAGCAAAUUGGCCAACAAGUUGACCAACAGCACCAGAGGCAGCUGAAACAAAAACAUUCUCUCCUUUCUUGGGAGUUCCCACUUCAAAGAAACCUGCAUACGCAGUAAGCCCUGGCGUACCUGUGCUCAGCGGAAAACACAAUAUAUGUUAAUAAGGCACAACUGAGUAGCAGAAAACUUAUACUGUGGAUGUUAUAAAUAUACAAAAGCUGUGAACUAUCAAUUCCAAAUAAGUACAGGGUUCAUUCAAUAUUGGUUCUCCUCCAAACCAAAGCAGGUCAAACAAAUAAUUUAGUGAAAAAAGAGUUAACUGCAUCCAUAAUAACCUGCAUUGAACAAAAGAAGAAAACAGAAAAACAAUGUCGGAUCAAAAAGCCAGACAACCCUCUUCCAAACUAUGUAGCACCAACACCACGGAUUGUACACAUGCUCAUUAAAUUGCUUCCAAAUUUGUAAAUCAAUAACUGUGUCAACAUAUCAAUGUCGUGUGCGGUGUCUCUGUCGUUGCUUCAUAAGUUUUGAAUGAAACUAAACACCGAAAGUAGUCUAUCACAUGAAAACAUCAUAACUUGAGUCUUGCAUAUCAUCCAAAAAUCAAAUGAAUUCUUCACUAAAAAUCAACAUAAAAAAAAAUGAAAUUGUUGAAAUACAUACCAAGAAUUCCAGUAUAGUAGGAAAGAGGAACAUCUGUAUGCUCAAUCUUGAAAAUUAUUUGAGCUGCAGGGAUCAAGCUGUACUCUUCCCAAUUAGUAACACCAUAGACCAAAUCACCUUCCUUAUAAUCUUUGUGUCCAGAUUCCAGAACUUUAGACACACCAUAACCAGCUAACGGCUGCAAUUACUAAAAACUUAUCAGUAGCAGCACAACACAAUUUCAAUUUUGCAACUUUGCAACACAAAUAUCAAUUUAGAGAUUAAAAAAACACACUUUAAGGCUCAAUUCUGCAUAUAAUGAAAAGGGUUUUACCCAGAAAAGGAUAUUGACUUACAGACUGAGGAGUAAAGGCACGAGAAGAGAGAGAGUCUUUUGGGUUGUUCAUGAGAUUCCGCAUGUAAGGAUCACACGACAAGUAGAGAUUUUUUAGCAGAACAACAUCGUUGGAACCUUCUGGAAUCUUUAGAGUUAUGGUACUGCUGAUGAUGUUCAGGUCUGAUUCUUUAGGAAAGCCAGAAACAUAAUCCUUCAGAAUGACUUGCUUGUUCUUAACUUCCGACAUGUUAGGUUCUUAACAAAAAUCAAUUCCCUAUUCUGAUAGAUUUAUAUUGAUUAUUAGGUAGUGAUCUAAAAUAUAAUAAUCCGAUGGCUUUAUGGAUGCAUGCAUAAUGCGUAUAGAUCACAAGAUAAGUGGAGAUUUUUUUGGAAGCAUGCCAUUGGAAUCUUUUAGAAGCUUUAAGAGAGUAAUGGAGUCCAAUUUUGCUUUGUUUAUCUUUCUUACUUUUUUUUAGAAGCUUUAAGAGUAAUGGAUCCAAUUUGCUUUGUUUAUCUUUCUUAAUGUGAUGUAGGAGCAUCUUUGUUAUACAUUUUUAAAAAAUGAUUCUUUUUAUAUUUUUUUAUUGAUUUUAAAAAAAUUGUUAUUAGAAUUGUAGAACUUAUUUUAAUAUUUUUUAUAAAUUAAAAAAGUAAUUAUGACAUUUAAUAACUUUAAUAUUAAGUAUGUAAUAUAUAUAGAGCAAAUGAGCUUAGAUCUGUUGAUGUUUAAUGGGCUCGAGCCAUUAUAGACAUACUCGUCUAUAUUUCUUCAAAUAUAAGAUACGUAGGAGUGGAGCGAUUAAAUAAGAUAUAUGAUAGUGUAUAUUCCUCAAACACAAAUCAUGUAGGAGCGAAGUGAUUAAGUAAUAUGUUUAACAAUUCAUAGCCCCUCAAGUACGGGGCUUAUAAGGGCGAAGUGAUGUGAAAGACGAGUUUGCAAAACCAGACAAAUUGAUUUUCUAAGUGAAAGGAUUUGAAAAACCCUUUGAACUUCGUUUUCAAAGCUGUGAUGAUUAAGUUUAUCUCAGGAAUGACCAUUCAAUAUGAGUCAUACAUUAACUUCCAUGUUUGGGAGUAAUGUCUUUGAUAAUUUGUCAUGCAAAUGCUAGAUAUUAGGCUAGAGAUGUGUACUUGUGAUUUAUAAAUAUUAGAACAUUUUCCUCCCUUUCGCAUCAUUCACUUGUCUAAUAUUCGCUUCUUCUUACAACUACUAUCUCUUGCUACUUAGUCCUUUGUGAAACUUAGUUCCCUUCUUAUGAUCACGAAAUUUAUGAUCACGAAGCUUAACUAAAUGUAUAUCCGUAUUCCCUUUUUAUGUUUUCCAUUUCAUAUUUAUAUAGGAUGGUAUUCAUUAGGGAUUGUGACGCAAGCGGUAAUGUAAUUGAGUCAAAUACUCACGAAGAUAUAUGAGAGUUAUGGUGUCGUUGUGUUGAGAGCUCAAGUCGAGUAUGCGAUAUACAAAAUUGGAACUUCGUUGAAACAAAGGUUUUUGGGAGUUACGAAAAUAGUUCUAGCAAUUUUGAUAGCGACGAAAGUAUAGAUAAUGACAUUAUUUUGGUAUCUUCUUUCCAAGGAUCAACAAGAUCUCUUAUGGGACUUCAAAUAGAAGAACAAUCACCUUUUGUAAAGAGGUGGUAAGUAUCAAUUUCUUGUAUAACAAUGAUGCUCUGAUAAAGUCUUUUUGCAAGGUCAUAUACAUAUCAAAUUCUAGAAACGAAGAUGAUGCCUUGUUGGCACUUUGCAAGGAAUGUGGGAAUGUAACACCUCAACUUUAGAAUAUUUCUUUUAAUUGAUUUUAUAUGAAUUUAUAUUAUUUAUUUGAGUAUUAUAAUUUAUUUAUUUAAUUAUUGAGGAGGGGUAGAGAUUCGAUUAGAAUUAUUAUUAAUUUAAUUAAUUUAAAUAAUAUUGGAAAUAAAAGAAAAUUUGAGAAUAAUUAUUUUGGGGAGAAAAUAGAAUUUAUUUAAAAUUAAGGAAAACAAUGGAAUUAGUAAGAGGUGGGGGUAUUGUGAGAUUUAUUAAAAUGAUGAGGAUUGGGGUUAUUUUUGUUUAAAUCGAGAAGUUAGAAGGAAAAUUGGUGGGUACGUGUUUUGUUGGAAAGGUGGUAGAAAGAAACCUAGGAAAGCGUUGGAAGAACAUAAGUAAUCCCAAAAGACGAAGCUUCAUCGCUGUAUAAUUUUUGAGGUAAGGGGGGAUUAUUAAUAUAUAAGUGGCUAAAUAGAUGGAUAGUGAGGGUUUAUUACCCUCUUGUCUUCUCCCUUUUCCUUUAUUUAUAAUUGAAGUUUGUGGCCAAAGAGGGUUUGGACAAAACCCUUUGAGGCGAUCGAUUGAUAAUGUUUCCUUUCAUUCUUGAGUAUUAUGAUAUGAAUUCCUAUUUGAUCAUUGUUUAUCUUGUUUUGAUAACCUUGUUAAUGUCUUUUGAUAAGGCAUACAUAUAUGAAUCUGUAUGUUUUUCUUUUGAGUCAUAUUAACCUUGGUUAACUUGUAUUGAAACGAUUGGUAGUCAAAUAGGCGAUGAGAGUUUGAAUUUGUUCAAAAGGGAGAAAAAUUAGAGAGUCGAAAAGUUGGAAAAAUCAAAAAUCAAGUAGUCGAAAAGUUGGAAAAGGUCGUAGUGGUUUCGUGCGCGUUCGCACGGGGAUGGAGCAUAGCCUGCGGCAGUGCGGUGCACGAUCGUGCAGGGUCAUAGCCGCGGUCAGCGGUGUAGGUCGUGUUGGCGGUUGUUGCAGACCGCGGAGCGAGCGCGAAGCGGGAACGCAUCGGGCGACGCAUCGGGCGGGGGGUUGGCCAUGGCAAUUUUUGCAGUCCAAUUCAACAUGUUUUUAGUAGUUUUGUAAUUUCUAUAUUGUUCUUUUCUCUUGAUGAGCUUAUUGUCCUUUUAACAAUGUUAGAGUUCAAGAUAAAUAAUAAUGUUAUAUUGAGUUGUCUGAAGGGUUGUGAGUUGACCAUCUUGAAUGAGAGGAUUGUAGAAUAUUAUUGUUACUCUGUUGAUGAGUAAUGUUGAGCAUGUAUGAUAAUUUUUUACCCUGUUGGUGAGCAUAUUUGAGUAAUAAUAUGUUACUCUAUUGAUGUGUAUUAUUGAGCACAUAUGUAAAUAUUUUUUCCUGUUGGUGAGUAAUGUUGAAUAAAUUCAGAUGAGGAACUACAGUGGUGGCAUGAUAUUGACGUAGUUGUGGGUUCAGAUGAGGAAUCGUUGUUGAGUAGUAUGUUGAUGUUGUUCGCUACAUUUUAUGUGUCAUGUAUAUCGGAGAUAGGUAGGACUCCAGUCCAACAAGGUGGUCUCAGAUUCAUUGGUGAAUCGUUGGUUCAUAUGAGGAAUUAGAGACGGGUCUCAAAUUUAUUGGUGGAAUCGUUGGUUCAUAUGAGGAAUCAAUAACAUAACUCUGAAAUUCAAAAACCUGGUCCCAUAUGCAUGCAGUAGUAGAGUUGAGUCGCAUUGCAUUACAUAAAGUUUCAUUUGUGAUUGUUCUAUGUCUGUGAACUAAUUUAUGUGGUUGCUGAUUGUUGUUGAAACUCUCCUAACUGUUGUAUACACCAUUAACAUUAUAAACGUGUUUCUCACCCCUUUUUGUUUGCUUGUGUGGCUCGUUAUAUCGAUGGUACAAAUACCUAGGUAUGAGAGCAUUAGUUGCUACAAUGUGGAAGGAUUGGCGUAGAUGCCUACUUCGUUUUAUUUAUCGUUUUUUAGUUUACAUAGUAUUUCCAUAUUUUGCUCAGAUAGUGUAACAUCAGGAUGGAUUUUCAGUUGUUUGAUGUUUUCUUGAGAAUUUGUUGGGUUUAUUUCCUUAUGUUGGAACUAAAUUGUUUUUAUAAAAGUAUGAGAUAUUUAUGUUGAGUUGAUGAUAUUUUAAUUUUCGUUGCUUAAUUUUAAAUUGAGAAGGAUGUUUUAUGAAGAAGGUGUGACACCCUAUGCUGAGUUAAAAAAAAAUCCUGACCUUUUUAAAUAUGCGUUUUAGGGUUAGGGUAUUACAGAGAAAGCCUGUAUGAUGAUGCAUCAAGGACCGAAGAAUGAGUUUUUAUAUUUUUAUACAAGUACCAUAGCCAAUUUUGGGCUAGGUAUUCCUUUACAAUGUUUGAAGCUUAGGUCCUGAAGGAUAUCAAUGUUAACCCUUCUCAACUACAUCCAAAUAAUUGGCCUUUUGUGAAGAGAUUCAUAUCCUCUGCAGGGCUUUGGAAAUCAAGCCCACUAUAUGCAUAUUAUUUUUUCUUUUUAUGGGACAAAGGGUGUCAACAAAGGUGGUUAGGUUCUGGUAAGUCACUUCAUCAAUUGAGGCUUUUUACUCCCUACAGUUCUAAUUACAAAAACUAGAAGGAAAAUUUUGUUCAAGUUUAAGGUAAUAGUGAUUGCCCCUAUAAUAUUUUUUUAAAGAAUGAGAAACAUCAAUUUAGGUUCUAUUUUUAUGAGUGAGCAUGUGUUAAUUUCGGGUUAUGAGUUUGACAAACUUAGAAAGGCGGAGAUAGAUAGUGUCCAUUUUAUGGAGUAAUUAUGCAUCCUAGGUGUUAGUGAAUUGAUGGAUUAUGAUAAAGAUAAACCAACACUUGAUAAUUAUUUGCAUAAGUGUUUCUUAUUUACUUGUUUUUUCCACUAUUUAUUUGUUUUAUUCUAAUUACUUUGAUGUUACGCUUUAUAGAAAAAGUUGGGUAUGUUGUUGGUAUCUCAAAGGAAGGCGAUGCUAGAGAAGGUGGAAGUCAUAUGAGGUGAAGUGCAUGCUCCAGACUAGUUUUGGAAAAAUAACUCAAAAAAUAAGAGAGAGAGAGCGAGGUGAAUUGCAUGAAUUUUAAAAAUGGUGUUAAAAUAAAAAUCUUUCAUGUAGUCAGAGUUUAAAAUAUGUUUGUAAAAUAAACAAGGUAAAAGCAGUGGAAUGACGAAAAUUAGAUAGGAAAGAAAGUAAUGCAACAAAAAUAAAUAAAUGAUUAAAAUGUAAAGAGAUGAGGGAAGUGAAAAAAUCCUUAGAGAUUUUUAGUGGUUCGAUCUAUUAACAUGACCUACUUCUCUCCCCAAGAAUUCCUUUUUAAUAGUAUCCAUUAUGAUCUUAUGUGAAAUUUUGAUUGUUUUGUCCACAAACAUUCUUACAAAAGGACUAGAGUUUUACACUUGCUAUCCUCCCAACCAAACACAAAGUUUUAACCAUAUAGACCUCAUAAUCAACAAGAGAUUUUACCACUAGGGCAAUCUUGAACCAAGAGAGAGCUUUUACCACCAGACUAAACUCACGAACCAAACAUGAGCUUUAAUUAUGGAGACCUCCCUACAAAACAUAGAUUUUACAAGGUUCACCUCAAUAACCAAAUAAGAGCUUUUCAAUUAAUUCAUAUUACAACCAAAAUAAAAUUCUCAUGAGAGAGAUAUUACAACAAUGUCGCACACUAGAACCAAACACAUCACAAUGUAAAAUAUUUACUCCCAAAAGAACUAAGAAGAGAGAGAGAGAGAGAGAGAGAGAGAGAGAGAGAGGAGAGAGAGAGAGAGAGAGAGAGAGAGAGAGAGAGGGGAAAGAGAGAGAGAGAGAAGAGAGAGAGAGAGAGAGAAGAGAGAGAGAGAGAGAGAGAGAGAGAGAGAGAGGGAAGAGGAGAGAGAGAGAGAGAGAGAUUUCAAAAUAUGUUUUUUGGUGUAAAUUGAAAUUAGGAAAAACCCUCUACUUAUAGGAGAAGGCGUGCCUAAAAAAUGGAGAUAAUCCAUGAGAUUUUCAAUAAUCCUAAUAGAUGAUACAAAUCACAUAAUUGAUUAUUAAGUACAAUAGAAGGUUUUUAAAUGACAUAUCACUUAUUAACUAUAAGCUCUAAUAAUUGACUAUGAGUUGUUGCAAAAGAGAUAAUCGAUUAUGCCUAAACUGUUAAUCAAUUAUCUAGUGUAAAUUACACCUAUAAAGGAUUAUUUGAGCUAGUUAUCAACUAGUUACUUGUGUAAAACAUUUUCUAGUGAUUUUACAAAAGUAGGGAGGCUUUUCAAUCAUUCAAAAGUGUGUCUGAUUUGUCUUAGUAAUUAAAGAGCUGAUCUUUAUACCUUUACAGAUGUCGAUAACUCGACACAAAUACGACGAGCUUUACACACUUCCUAUCUUUCACAACUUUGAAGAUCCAAGAAUCCUUGCUUGAUACACCAAUGGUUCAAAACUUCACCUAAAAAACUAUGUUCAUUUAAAAAUCAGAAUGCUACAAAACAUGAUACAGAAAUUCAAAUGUCGGGCGCUACACACACUACAUGCGAGUUUAUCCAAAAAAAUGAUAGAUAAUGUUGUAUUUUAUAAGCUAUAUCCUUGGUCAAUAAAAUUUGAAUUAUAAAUACUUAUUGUAAAUAUCAUUUUGAACACACAUCAUCAAUCAAACUAUCUUCUACUCGUAUUUAUAUUUUAUCUUUUUCCUUGAUUUUUACUUAUAUUUUCAUUAGUUUUUAAGUUUUUUUUUAAAACUUAUGACAUGUUUGUUUUCGCGGUAGAAAACUAAGAGACGUGCAUCUGACCCAUAAGCUACACUUUUUCAUGGCAAAACACUGUCUAAACGUGCGAUGAUUGUGAAAAAAAAUAAACCAAGAAUGUUAUUAAUAGUGCAUACUUAACAAUUUAUUUAAUGGAAUCCAUAACCGCAGAAAAAAAUUCUUCUUCAACAUAAUUUUUUAAGCAAAAAUUGAAUUUCUGGUUGAAUUUUGUUGAGUUUGUCUCAUAGGUUAUGUCAAGUGGCAAAGGGUCAAGUUGCAGAGGGGUUUAGGGGUAUUAUUAAAAUCUGGAUCAUUAACAUCCCUAUAUGUGUUAAAUUCAGAACAAAUCAAUCAGACGAAACUAUAGUUGCUAUAUAGUCACGAACGUAGGCAAUUUGGUCAAACUGCGUGAACAAAGCCUUUGUGUGUUUCUCUCUAAUUUAAUUUGUAUUUGUGUGACUGUUCCAACAAAUGGUAUCAGAUGUAGCUUAAUCUUGGAAGUGCGAAAUUCAAAGUGACACAGUUUGGCAGAACAUGCAAUUUUGAUUUAUGAAAAAUGAGGGUUAAUGAUCUAUUGGCUCAACAAGGUUUAUAAAAGGCGCUUCAUGGUGAGAAACUGGCGGACAUCACAACCAUUUAUUGGUACAGGAUGAAGGAGAAGGUCGUAAGUUUGAUAAGACAUUGUAUUUUUGAUGACGUGAUGAAUCGUAUCCUGGACCUCACAACUCCGAAGGAUUUCUGGGAUAAAUUGGAAAAUCAGUAUAUGUUCAAGACGCUCAUGAACAAAUUAUUCACGAAGUAGUGUCUCUAUAGCCUGAAGAUGCAAGAAGGAAGUGAUAUCCAGGCUCAUAUUAACACUUUCAACAACAUCCUCGUUGAUUUGACAUGUCUUGGUGUGAAGUUUGAUGAUGAGGAUAAAGCCAUUAUUUUGUUAUGCUUUUUACCAAGCCCUUAUGAGAACUUGGUGACCACUCUUACAUACAGGAAGAAAUCAAUCACGUUGGACUAUAUUUAUUCUACCCUUUUGCAACACGUACAACGUCGCUAAAAUGUAGAGGAAGUUCAGGUGAAGGUUUGUUUAUGAAGGGAGGUAAGACCAGGGGAAGAGGCAAGGUUAAGGCAGCGGGUUCUGGAAAGAAAAAUAGGUUCUAGUCCAAGGACAAAAAAACAUUAGAAUGUUAUGGUUUCAAGGAAAUUGGCCAUUGGAAGAGGGGUUGUUCUAAAAAGUCGGGCAACAAUAGUUCAGAAAAUGUAGUUCAAACUGACAUUCCUGCAGUGAAGAGGAUUUUCUUUGUGUUUCAUCAGGAAAGUGAAUUGAUGCAUGUAUCCUUGAUUCUGAGCGCUCCUACCAUAUGACGCUACAACAGGAGAGAUUCAACUUUUUUAAAUCGGGUGAUUUUGGUUUUGUCUAUUCAUGUGAUGAUAAAACUUGUACCAUCACUAGAAAGGGGGAAAUUAAAACUACUUUGGAUGAUGGUGGCAUGCGCAUGUUGAGUGAGGUGCGUUAUGUUACAGAAUUAAGGAAGAAUUUGAUUUCUUUGGGUACACUUCAAGCGAAUAUUUGUUCUUUCUAAUCAUUUGGAGAUAGAGACAUCAUGAGGUUUAGCAAGGGUGCAAAGACAUUGAUGAGGCCAAGGAGGAAGGUAGGUAACAUUUAUAAGUUAUUGGGAGCACAAUUAUGGGUGAUGUAGCAUUUGUUGAAACUGAUAAUGAUUUAACCAAAAUGUGGAACAUGCGCUUGGGUUAGCUCAAUGAACGUAGGAUGAUAGAACUACAUAAGAGGAAUUUGUUGAAGGGUUUUUGCAGUUGUAUAAUUGGAUUGUGAAAGUAUUGUGUUCUUGGGAAAUAAUGUAGAGUUCGUUUCAAGACCGGGAAACACAAGAUAAAGGGAAUCUUACACUAUGUCCAUUAUGAUGUAUGAGGGCCUACACAAGAGCCAUUCGUUGAAGGUUUCAGUUACUUUGUGACAUUCACUAAUGAUUUUUUUCGUAAGGUCUAGAUUUAUUUUAUGAAAUAUAAAUUUGAGGUCUUCCCCAUGUUCAAAAUAUGGAAGGAAUAGGUUGAGAACCAAACUAAGGGAGAAAUAAAGUAUUUGUGGUAUGAUAAUGGAAUUGGAUACACUGACCAGAAGUUCAUGCAUUUCUGUGAGGAGAAUGGAAUCCAGAGAAACUUUUUUGUGAAAAAGACACCACAACAUAAUGGUGUUGCAGAUAAGAUGAACAUAACUCUAAUAGAGAAAGCAAGGUGCCUUUGGUUGAAUGUCGGUCUUUCAAUAGGUUUAUGGGCAGCAACAAUUAAUAUGGCAUGCUAUCAAGUCAACACAUCACCACAAGAUUCAUUGGAUAGAAAAUUUGUAGAUGAGGUAUGGACAUGUAACUCUAUUGAUCUAAAAUAUUUGAGGAUUUUUUUGUGUCCAUCAUAUAUGUACAUUUCCAGUGAAGAUCGGUCUAAACUUGACCUCAAGUCAAAGUAGUGCAUCUUUAUUGGUUACAAUAAAGGUGUCAAGGGGAACAAGUUUUGGGAUCCAGUUAAGACGAAGGUGGUUGUCAGUAGAGAUGUUGUAUUUUAUGAGUAGUCGAUGUUGAAACAGUAAAAUGUGAUAGUUGUGCCAAAUACUGAGGUAGAAAAUUCCAGUCAGGACAAGAUUCAGGUGGACAUCGAGGAGUCACCAGUGAGUCCAAGGUAGGUUGGAGCCCAACAACAGGAUGAACAAGGCUCAAAUUCAGGCGGAGUUCAAGAUUCAGGUGGAGUACAAGACUAUACACUUGUGUGUGAUAGGGAGCCUCGUCGUAUUACACCUCUAGUGAGAUAUGGGUUUGAAGACUGAUCAACAUAUGUUUUUUUACCAAUUCAGAUACCCUUCUACUUUUUGAUAGGUUAUGGCUAUCCAGGAGAAAGAUAAGUGGAUGGGUGUUAUGCUGGAGGAGAUGGAGUCCUUGAAAAAGAGUGAGACAUGUGAUCUUGUCCGGAUACUAUAGGGAAAGAGAGUUAUUGGUUGCAAGUGGGUGUACAAUAAAAAGCUAGCAGUAAUAGAAAAGAAAGUGGAAAAGUUCAAAGCUUGCCUAGUUUCAAAUGGGUAUUCACAGCACAAGGGGAUUAUUAUGAUGAGAUUUUCAGUCCAGUGGUUAGACACACUUCUAUUAGGAAAGUAUUGGCCCUAGUAGCCAGUAUGGAUAUGUAUUUAAAGCAUAUGGAUAUGGAAACAUCUUUUCUUCAUGGUAAUCAAGAUGAGCAAAUUUAUAUGCAGUAGCCAGAGAGUUUCAGUGACAUUGGACAUGGCAGGCUUGUUUGUAAAUUGAAGAGGUCUUUGUAUGGCUUGAAGAAGUCUCCAAGGAAAUGAUACAAAAACUUUGAUUCGUACAUGUCCCAGUUGGUUGUAGAAGGUGUGAUUAUGAUUGUUGUGUUUAUGUGAGGAAUCUUGACAACGACUCUUUUAUUUUCCUGUUACUUUAUAUUGAUGAUAUGGUGAUUGCUGCCAAACAUUUGUGUGAUAUAAAUGAGUUGAAGACCAUGUUGGGUAAGGAUUUUGAUAUGAAGGAUCCAGGUGUUGCAAAGAAUAUUAUUGGGAUGGAAAAACUCUGAGAUUGAUUUGAAGACACACUUAAAGAUUGAAGAUAUGUUUAAGAUUCCUUAUGUCAGUGCAGUUGAUUGUUUGAUGUAUGUUAUGGUUUGCACUAGACCUGAUUUGGCACAAGCAGUUAGUCAAGUGUGCAAGUUAUGUCCAAGUCAGGGAAGCAGUAUUGAGAAGCAUUCAAGUGGAUCCUAAGGUACUUGAAAGGUACAACGGAUCGUGGUAUCAUGUUCAGCACGGAGCAGGGUAUUCCAUCAGUUAUGGGAUAUGUGGAUUUUGACUAUGUAGGUGAUUUGGAUGAUAAGUGGUCUACAAAAUGGUAUGUCUUUAUUCUUGCGGUGGAAAACUAAGAGACGCGUGUCUAGCCCAGAGGCUACUUUAUCCAGCUUCACUUUUUCACGGUGAAGCGAUGUUUGACAUAAGCUAAACCAAACAUGUUAUUAAUAGUGUACACUGAAUUUAAUGGAAUCCAUAACCGUCGAAAAAAGUUUCUUCUAUAAAAUAAUUUUUAAGCAAAAAUUGAAUUAUGGUUGAGUUCUAUUGAGUUUGACUCAUAGGUAAUGUUAAUUGGUUAAGGGGCGGGGUUGCGGAGCGGUUUAGGGAUAUUAUUGUAAUCUGGAUCAUUAGUAUCCCUAUAUAUGUUCGUAACACUGAAACCCUAAUGUGUGAAAUUCAUAACAAAUCAAUAAGAUAAAACUAUAGAUGCUCUUUAAUCGCAGAUGUAGGUAAUUUGAGUGAACUGCGUGAACAAUGUCUUUGUGUGUUUCUUUCUACUCUAAUCUAUAUUUGCGUAAAUGCUCCAACAAGUUUCUUUCAACAUCACAUAUUAAAGUUGUAUCACUCUGAGCACAUAUUAUUUUGAGUUAUGAAGUACUGAUUCAAACACUGAUGUGACUCAGACACACAUAGACACCAUUAAUAACUUUAAAAAAAAUAGAAUUGCUUUAAUUUAAUCACGUUUUUGUUUCUGUGUCUUGUUAGUGUCAAAUACCAACACAAGUCGGACCACCAACACACAUUCAAUUUUAUUGGUAUAUCAAGUGUGCGUAUGAGUCUCACAUCGGGUGAAAAAGUGAAUGUUAAACACUUUAUAAAUGAAAAAACCCAUAAACCCAAUGCUUUAAGAUUUUAGAUUAAUACGUGAUGUUUAUCUCAUUUAUAUGGUUGUUCCUAAAGCCCGAUGUAAUGAUUCCUGAACCCUUUCAUGACCAACAAACUCAAAAUGCAAAAUUAAAGUUAAUAACAAUGACCGCAAAUAAAACUUAAUAAAAUUAGUAAAUAUACUAUUAGAAGUAACAAAGAAGAAUAUAUCAGAGGUUUUAUCUAUCCUAAGAUGUCACAGAAGCAAGCAAUUACAAUCAAUACUAUAGUUUAGAAAGAAUAUUGCACAAAGCCAUACAGAGAGAUCUUAUUAUUCAACAUAAAUAAAAUGAAAGCACCAGAAUUCAUUCACGAGCAACAACAAGCACUUGUUUCCCAACAUUCUGACCACUAAAUAAUCCCACCAAUGCUGCAGGGCCUUUCUCAAGUCCCUCAGCUAUGUCUUCCACAUACACAACCUUCCCUUCUCUGAUAUAAGGCAGAACAUACUCCAAGAAUUUGGCAUACAGAUGAUAGAAAUCACCUACAACAAAACCUUGCAUACGAAUCCGUUUAUACACAAGAUGUGCCAAAUUCGUUACGCCUUCAUGUUGCGUAAGAUUAUACUGUGAGAUCAUUCCACACACAGGUAUGCGACCAUUGAGUUUCAUAUUCAAGAGUACAGCAUCAAGUGUCUUUCCUCCAACAUUCUCAUAGUAAAU
rnacentral:lncRNA from 1 species